GCAUCAACCUGGCAGGUGAGAUACCAUGAUCAUGAAGGUGGCUUUCCCAAGAUGAGGCUUAUCCAUUGUGUUCCAGAUGUGCUGACCCUUGCAAUUCCCCAACUGUGGGAACUCGAUUGCAUAAUUUAUAGUAGUGGCACUCUCCCUUAGUAGAUUUCAG